rnacentral:lncRNA from 1 species
GGCAAACACCACACCCAAUGUACUGUCUCCAGCCGAUACACCUAUGGUCGGCUAUCAUCCAAAUCACAUCAAUAUACUAUAUAUAUAUAUAUAUAUAUAUGUAUAUAUAUAUUGUCAAUUAUAAAUGAACAAACACCGUUGAACCAUCUAACACCCUAGUUCCGGUUUAAGCAAAGAACCUAAAAACUAAACAAACAAUGACAGACUCGAUUUUAC